CCUACGGGAGGCAGCAGUAAGGAAUAUUGGUCAAUGGAGGCAACUCUGAACCAGCCAUGCCGCGUGCAGGAAGACGGCCCUAUGGGUUGUAAACUGCUUUUGAACUAGAGAAAACCUUGGUACGUGUACCGAGUUGAUAGUAUAGUUAGAAUAGGCAUCGGCUAACUUCGUGCCAGCAGCCGCGGUAAGACGAAGGAUGCAAGCGUUAUCCGGAUUCAUUGGGUUUAAAGGGUGCGUAGGCGGACUGAUAAGUCAGUGGUGAAAUCUCUCAGCUUAACUGAGAAACUGCCAUUGAUACUGUUAGUCUAGAGUACAGAUGAUGUGGGCGGAAUAUGACAUGUAGUGGUGAAAUACUUAGAUAUGUCAUAGAACACCGAUUGCGAAGGCAGCUCACAAAACUGUAACUGACGCUGAGGCACGAAAGUGCGGGGAUCAAACAGGAUUAGAUACCCUGGUAGUCCGCACCGUAAACGAUGAUUACUCGUUGUUGGCGAUAUGACAGUCAGCGACCAAGCGAAAGCGANAAGUAAUCCACCUGGGAGUACGCCGGCGAACGGUGAAACGUUAAAGGAAAUUGACGGCGNGAGAGAGCGACGGACGACGACGAGGGAGGAGG
rnacentral:rRNA from 1 species